UACGUAGGGGGCUAGCGUUGUCCGGAAUCAUUGGGCGUAAAGCGCGCGUAGGCGGCCAGAUAAGUCCGGUGUGAAAGCCACAGGCUCAACCUGUGAAUGCCGCUGGAAACUGUCUGGCUAGAGUCCGGGAGGGGCGAGUGGAAUUCCUGGUGUAGCGGUGAAAUGCGCAGAUAUCAGGAGGAACACCAAUGGCGAAGGCAGCUCGCUGGGACGUGACUGACGCUGAGACGCGAAAGCGUGGGGAGCAAACAGG
rnacentral:rRNA from 1 species